GUGUCAGCCGCCGCGGUAAUACGAAGGGGGCUAGCGUUGCUCGGAAUCACUGGGCGUAAAGGGCGCGUAGGCGGCUGAUCAAGUCGGGGGUGAAAUCCCAGGGCUCAACCCUGGAAUUGCCUUCGAUACUGGUCGGCUAGAGAGUGGAAGAGGUAAGUGGAACUCCGAGUGUAGAGGUGAAAUUCGUAGAUAUUCGGAAGAACACCAGUGGCGAAGGCGGCUUACUGGUCCAUUUCUGACGCUGAGGCGCGAAAGCGUGGGGAGCAAACAGGAUUAGAUACCCUGGUAGUCC
rnacentral:rRNA from 1 species